rnacentral:rRNA from 1 species
AUUGAACGCUGGCGGCAGGCCUAACACAUGCAAGUCGAACGAGUGGCGGACGGGUGAGUAAUGUCUGAGAAACUGCCUGACGGAGGGGGAUAACUACGGGAAACGGUAGCUAAUACCGCAUACGAUCAGAUGUGCCCAGAUGGGAUUAGCUGGUUGGUGGGGUAACGGAUCACCAAGGCGACGAUCCCUAGCUGGUCUGAGAGGAUGACCAGCCACACUGGAACUGAGACACGGCCCAGACUCCUACGGGAGGCAGCAGUGGGGAAUAUUGGACAAUGGGCGCAAGCCUGAUGCAGCCAUGCCGCGUGUAUGAAGAAGGUCUUCGGGUUGUAAAGUACUGUCAGCGGGGAGGCGUUACCCGCAGAAGAAGCACCGGCUAACUCCGUGCCAGCAGCCGCGGUAAUUC